GAUGAACGCUGACAGAAUGCUUAACACAUGCAAGCCAACUUGAAUUUGGGUUUUUAACUUAGGUUUGGGUGGCGGACGGGUGAGUAACGCGUAAAGAACUUGCCUCACAGCUAGGGACAACAUUUGGAAACGAAUGCUAAUACCUAAUAUUAUGAUAAUAGGGCAUCCUAUAAUUAUGAAAGCUAUAAGCGCUGUGAGAGAGCUUUGCGUCCCAUUAGCUAGUUGGAGAGGUAACGGCUCGCCAAGGCGAUGAUGGGUAGCCGGCCUGAGAGGGUGAUCGGCCACAAGGGGACUGAGACACGGCCCUUACCCCUACGGGAGGCAGCAGUGGGGAAUAUUGGACAAUGGACCAAGAGUCUGAUCCAGCAAUUCUGUGUGCACGAUGAAGUUUUUCGGAAUGUAAAGUGCUUUCAGUUGGGAAGAAAAAAAUGACGGUACCAACAGAAGAAGUGACGGCUAAAUACGUGCCAGCAGCCGCGGUAAUACGUAUGUCACGAGCGUUAUCCGGAUUUAUUGGGCGUAAAGCGCGUCUAGGUGGUUAUGUAAGUCUGAUGUGAAAAUGCAGGGCUCAACUCUGUAUUGCGUUGGAAACUGUAUAACUAGAGUACUGGAGAGGUAAGCGGAACUACAAGUGUAGAGGUGAAAUUCGUAGAUAUUUGUAGGAAUGCCGAUGGGGAAGCCAGCUUACUGGACAGAUACUGACGCUGAAGCGCGAAAGCGUGGGUAGCAAACAGG
rnacentral:rRNA from 1 species